rnacentral:rRNA from 1 species
GCAGAGCACUUCUACGGGAGGCAGCAGUGGGGAAUAUUGCACAAUGGGCGCAAGCCUGAUGCAGCCAUGCCGCGUGUAUGAAGAAGGCCUUCGGGUUGUAAAGUACUUUCAGCAGUGAGGAAGGUGGAUAUGUUAAUAGCAUAUUCAUUUGACGUUAGCUGCAGAAGAAGCACCGGCUAACUCCGUGCCAGCAGCCGCGGUAAUACGGAGGGUGCGAGCGUUAAUCGGAAUUACUGGGCGUAAAGCGCAUGCAGGUGGUUUGUUAAGUCAGAUGUGAAAGCCCGGGGCUCAACCUCGGAAUUGCAUUUGAAACUGGCAAACUAGAGUACUGUAGAGGGGGUAGAAUUUCAGGUGUAGCGGUGAAAUGCGUAGAGAUCUGAAGGAAUACCGGUGGCGAAGGCGGCCCCCUGGACAGAUACUGACACUCAGAUGCGAAAGCGUGGGGAGCAAACAGGAUUAGAUACCCUGGGAG